UACGGGGGGGGGCAAGCGUUGUUCGGAAUUACUGGGCGUAAAGGGCUCGUAGGUGGCCAACUAAGUCGGACGUGAAAUCCCUCGGCUUAACCGGGGAACUGCGUCCGAUACUGGUUGGCUUGAGUUUGGGAGAGGGAUGCGGAAUUCCAGGUGUAGCGGUGAAAUGCGUAGAUAUCUGGAGGAACACCGGUGGCGAAGGCGGGUCUCUGGGCCGAUACUGACGCUGAGGAGCGAAAGAGUGGGGAGCGAACAGG
rnacentral:rRNA from 1 species